rnacentral:rRNA from 1 species
AAACRUCGUCGUGCUGGGGAUAGAUCRUUGCAAUUUUUGAUCUUGAACGAGGAAUUCCUAGUAAGCGCGAGUCAUCAGCUCGCGUUGAUUACGUCCCUGCCCUUUGUACACACCGCCCGUCGCUA